rnacentral:rRNA from 1 species
GACGAACGCUGGCGGCGUGCUUAACACAUGCAAGUCGAACGGAAAGGCCCUGCUUUUGUGGGGUGCUCGAGUGGCGAACGGGUGAGUAACACGUGAGUAACCUGCCCUUAACUUUGGGAUAACUUCAGGAAACUGGGGCUAAUACCGGAUAGGAGCUCCUGCUGCAUGGUGGGGGUUGGAAAGUUUCGGCGGUUGGGGAUGGACUCGCGGCUUAUCAGCUUGUUGGUGGGGUAGUGGCUUACCAAGGCUUUGACGGGUAGCCGGCCUGAGAGGGUGACCGGCCACAUUGGGACUGAGAUACGGCCCAGACUCCGACGGGAGGCAGCAGUGGGGAAUAUUGCACAAUGGGCGGAAGCCUGAUGCAGCAACGCCGCGUGCGGGAUGACGGCCUUCGGGUUGUAAACCGCUUUCGCCUGUGACGAAGCGUGAGUGACGGUAAUGGGUAAAGAAGCACCGGCUAACUACGUG